rnacentral:rRNA from 1 species
CAGUCGAGCGGAUGAGAAGAGCUUGCUCUUCGAUUCAGCGGCGGACGGGUGAGUAAUACCUAGGAAUCUGCCUGGUAGUGGGGGACAACGUUUCGAAAGGAACGCUAAUACCGCAUACGUCCUACGGGAGAAAGCAGGGGACCUUCGGGCCUUGCGCUAUCAGAUGAGCCUAGGUCGGAUUAGCUAGUUGGUGAGGUAAUGGCUCACCAAGGCGACGAUCCGUAACUGGUCUGAGAGGAUGAUCAGUCACACUGGAACUGAGACACGGUCCAGACUCCUACGGGAGGCAGCAGUGGGGAAUAUUGGACAAUGGGCGAAAGCCUGAUCCAGCCAUGCCGCGUGUGUGAAGAAGGUCUUCGGAUUGUAAAGCACUUUAAGUUGGGAGGAAGGGUACUUACCUAAUACGUGAGUAUUUUGACGUUACCGACAGAAUAAGCACCGGCUAACUCUGUGCCAGCAGCCGCGGUAAUACAGAGGGUGCAAGCGUUAAUCGGAAUUACUGGGCGUAAAGCGCGCGUAGGUGGUUCGUUAAGUUGGAUGUGAAAUCCCCGGGCUCAACCUGGGAACUGCAUCCAAACUGGCGAGCUAGAGUAGGGCAGAGGGUGGUGGAAUUUCCUGUGUAGCGGUGAAAUGCGUAGAUAUAGGAAGGAACACCAGUGGCGAAAGCGACCACCUGGGCUCAUACUGACACUGAGGUGCG